GAAUAUUGGACAAUGGGCGCAAGCCUGAUCCAGCCACGCCGCGUGAGUGAUGAAGGCCUUCGGGUCGUAAAGCUCUGUGGGGAGGGACGAACCGCCGGAGGUUAAUAGCUUCCGGCAUGACGGUACCUCCUUAGCAAGCCCCGGCAGACUUCGAGCCAGCCGCCGCGGUAAUACGAAGGGUGCAAACGUUGCUCGGAAUUAUUGGGCGUAAAGCGCACGUAGGCGGCUUUGUAAGUUGGAUGUGAAAUCCCUCGGCUCAACCAAGGAAGUGCAUCCAAAACUACAAAGCUUGAGUACUUAAGAGGAUCGCGGAAUUCCCGGUGUAGAGGUGAAAUUCGUAGAUAUCGGGAGGAACACCAGUGGCGAAGGCGGCGAUCUGGGAAGAUACUGACGCUGAGGUGCGAAAGCGUGGGGAGCAAACAGG
rnacentral:rRNA from 1 species